rnacentral:rRNA from 1 species
UACGUAGGGUGCGAGCGUUAUUCGGAAUUAUUGGGCGUAAAGGGCGCGUAGGCGGCCUUGUAAGUCAAAGGUGAAAUCCCUCGGCUCAACUGAGGAACUGCCUUUGAAACUGCAAGGCUUGAGGCCGGGAGGGGGUAGCGGAAUUCCCAAUGUAGCGGUGAAAUGCGUAGAUAUUGGGAGGAACACCAGUGGCGAAGGCGGCUACCUGGACCGGUUCUGACGCUGAGGCGCGAAAGCGUGGGUAGCAAACAGG